rnacentral:rRNA from 1 species
GAUGAACGCUAGCGGCAGGCCUAAUACAUGCAAGCCGAACGGCAAGUUUGAUAGCAAUAUUGGACCUAGAGUGGCGCAAGGGUGCGUAACACGUAUGCAACCUGCCCGCGACAGGAGGAUAGCUCCCCGAAAGGGGAAUUAACUCUCCAUAACACCAUGAGAAGGCAUCUGAUUAUGGUUAAACCGCAAGGGGUCGCGGAUGGGCAUGCGGUUGAUUAGCUAGUUGGCGGGGUAAAGGCCCACCACGGCGGUGAUCAAUAGGGGUUCUGAGAGGAAGGUCCCCCAAACUGGCACUGAGAUACGGGCCAGACUCGUGCGGGAGGCAGCAGUAGGGAAUAUUGGACAAUGGUUGCAAGACUGAACCAGCCAUGCCGCGUGCAGGAAGAAGGCCUUCUGGGUCGUAAACUGCUUUUACGUGUGGAUAAAAUACCCGUGCGCGGGGAAUUGAAGGUAACAGGGGAAUAAGCCACGGCUAACUACGUG